UGAAAGCUAAUGGAAAAAUGAAGUGUUCUGUAAAGCUUGAGACACUCGUGAAAAGCAUCUGCUAUACGUAAAGACCUCUUGCCACUCAGCAGACACCAACCAUGGUUUCACAGUUUGCCCAGAAGACUUCACAAAUGACAUGUGUGAUGAUGGAUCAGGAGGAAGCAAGGUCCGGCUAGGUUCACCAGCUGGAGUCCAUUGUUCACUAUGGAUGAGUCCUUGGCUGUCUCUGAAGAGGAGGGUUUCAUUUCAUAUGCAACAAAGAUUGUCUUUUCGUGCAGAUAAACCAGCACUGUAG
rnacentral:lncRNA from 1 species